AUGUCCAGCUAGCUCUCUGCAACUCUCACAUAGUCACUGAAGCUAAGCAGGGCUGUGCCUGGUCAGUACCUGGAUGGGAGACCACAUGGGAAAGCUUGCUGCCGGAAGUG
rnacentral:rRNA from 1 species